rnacentral:ncRNA from 1 species
UAGGGAUAGGGAAUUGCAAUUAUUUCCCUUGAACGAGGAAUUCCCAGUAAGCGCGAGUCAUUAGCUCGCGUUGAUUACGUCCCCUGCCCUUUGUACACACCGCCCCGUCGCUACUACCGAUUGAAUGGUUUAGUGAGGUCCUCCGAUUGGACCCGGUCCGGGCGGCGACGUCCGAGCCGGCGUCCGAGAAGACGAUCUAACUUGAUCAUUUAGAGGAAGUAAAAGUCGUAACAAGGUUUCCGUAGGUGAACCUGCGGAAGGAUCAUUA